CAACUCGCCUGCAUGAAGUUGGAAUUGCUAGUAAUCGCGGAUCAGCAUGCCGCGGUGAAUACGUUCCCGGGCCUUGUACACACCGCCCGUCACACCAUGGGAGCCGGUAAUACCCGAAGUCAGUAGCCUAACCGCAAGGGGGGCGCUGCCGAAGGUAGGAUUGGCGACUGGGGUGAAGUCGUAACAAGGUACC
rnacentral:rRNA from 1 species